rnacentral:rRNA from 1 species
CCCCCAGACAUAUAGCGCACGAGCCCUGUGGGGGAAAUAUGAAGAGCUUUUUGGAAAGAGUGUUAAGAGUACGUGAUAUUGUCGAAAGGGGAGCACUUGAUCUCAGCCAUUGUGUGAGAGUCUCCGCGGCGUUUUUGCUUGGUGUAUUUCUCGGUAGCAAGCCAGCAUUGGUUUGUGUCGUCGGAGAAGCGCAUGGGGAAUGUGGCGUUUUCGGAUGUGUUAUAGCCUUGUGCAGGAUACGACGACGUGGAUCAAGGAACGCAGUGUGCCCUCUGGGCGGGUCUUCGGACACCUUCACA